rnacentral:piRNA from 1 species
UUCCAGGAAGAGUGUGCUUGUCAUCU